rnacentral:rRNA from 1 species
AGAGUUUGAUCCUGGCUCAGAACGAACGCUGGCGGCAGGCCUAACACAUGCAAGUCGAGCGCCCCGCAAGGGGAGCGGCGGACGGGUGAGUAACGCGUGGGAACGUACCCUUUGCUACGGAAUAGCCUCGGGAAACUGGGAGUAAUACCGUAUGUGCCCUUCGGGGGAAAGAUUUAUCGGCAAAGGAUCGGCCCGCGUUGGAUUAGGUAGUUGGUGGGGUAAUGGCCUACCAAGCCGACGAUCCAUAGCUGGUUUGAGAGGAUGAUCAGCCACACUGGGACUGAGACACGGCCCAGACUCCUACGGGAGGCAGCAGUGGGGAAUCUUAGACAAUGGGCGCAAGCCUGAUCUAGCCAUGCCGCGUGAGCGAUGAAGGCCUUAGGGUUGUAAAGCUCUUUCAGUGGGGAAGAUAAUGACUGUACCCACAGAAUAUGCCCCGGCUAACUCCGUGCCAACAGCCGCGGUAAUACGGAGGGGGCUAGCGUUGUUCGGAAUUACUGGGCGUAAAGCGCACGUAGGCGGACCGGAAAGUCAGAGGUGAAAUCCCAGGGAUCAUCUUGGAACCGCCUUUUGAAACUCCUGGUCUUGAGGUCGAGAGAG